GACGAACGCUGGCGGCGUGCUUAACACAUGCAAGUCGAACGGAAAGGCCCUGCUUUUGUGGGGUGCUCGAGUGGCGAACGGGUGAGUAACACGUGAGUAACCUGCCCUUGACUUUGGGAUAACUUCAGGAAACUGGGGCUAAUACCGGAUAGGAGCUCCUGCUGCAUGGGGGGGGUUGGAAAGUUUCGGCGGUUGGGGAUGGACUCGCGGCUUAUCAGCUUGUUGGUGGGGUAGUGGCUUACCAAGGCUUUGACGGGUAGCCGGCCUGAGAGGGUGACCGGCCACAUUGGGACUGAGAUACGGCCCAGACUCCUACGGGAGGCAGCAGUGGGGAGUAUUGCACAAUGGGCGGAAGCCUGAUGCAGCAACGCCGCGUGCGGGAUGACGGCCUUCGGGUUGUAAACCGCUUUCGCCUGUGACGAAGCGUGAGUGACGGUAAUGGGUAAAGAAGCACCGGCUAACUACGUG
rnacentral:rRNA from 1 species